rnacentral:rRNA from 1 species
CAGCAGCCGCGGUAAUACAGAGGCCUCAAGCGUUGUUCGGAUUCAUUGGGCGUAAAGGGUGCGUAGGUGGCUUGGUAAGUUGAAGGUGAAAUCUCGGGGCUUAACCCCGAAACUGCCUUCAAUACUGCUAGGCUCGAGGACUGUAGAGGAGAAUGGAAUUCACGGUGUAGCAGUGAAAUGCGUAGAUAUCGUGAGGAAGACCAGUGGCGAAGGCGAUUCUCUGGGCAGUUCCUGACACUGAGGCACGAAGGCCAGGGGAGCAAACGGGAUUAGAUACCCGCGUAGUCCCUGUCUCUUAUAA